rnacentral:piRNA from 1 species
UUACGGAGUACAGAAGGCACAGAUAAAGC